AUACAUAUACACAUAUAUGUGUGUGUAUAUAUACAUCCACGUAUGUGGAUACAUAUACACAUACACACACAUAUAUAUGUGUAUGUGUAUUUGUAUAUAUACGUGGAUAUAUGUAUACAUACUUUGUAUCCUUCAAUCCAAUCAAGUUGAUACUUAUUAUUAACCUCACAGUAACCAUAGGAGGAAUUUAGUGUGUGUAUAUACGUGUAUAUAUAUAUAAAAUGUUGUGAAGGUUAUAUAUAUAUACACAUGUGUAUAUACGUGUGUGUGUGUGUGUGUGUGUGUGUAUAUAAAGGGGAGUUUAUUAAGUAUUAACUUACAAGAUCACAAGGUCCCACAAUAGGCCAUCUGUAAGCUGAGGAGCAAGGAGAGCCAGUCUGAGUCCCAAAACUGAAGAACUUGGAGUCCAAUGUUCAAGGGCAGGAAGCAUCCAGCACAGGAGAAAGAUACAGUCUGGGAGGCUAGGCCAGGGUCUCCUUUAACAUUUUUCUGCCUGCUUAUAUUCUAGCUGUGCUGGCAGCUGAUUAGAUUGUGCCCACUCGGAUUAAGGGUGGGUCUGCCUUUCUCAGCCCACUGACUCAAAUGUUAAUCUCCUUUCGCAGCACCCUCACAGACAUAUCCAGGAUCAAUACUUUGUAUCCUUCAAUCCAAUCAAGUUGAUACUCAUUAUUAACCAUCACACUAACCAUGGGAGGAAUUUAGUUUAUAGUUUAGCUUUAAAGCAAGGAUGAUAAUAGUCCCUCCCUAAAGCUGGCCCCCUCCUCCUUAUUCAGGGACUGAAGUUGUCUGUGUAAAACUAAUGAAAGGCCAUAAGAUUAGGAUUAUAGAAGGGGCCUGAAUUCUGCUAAAAUGUAGGUGUACUUUCUAUAACCCCUUACUGCUCAGCAGUUAUGUGGCCAGAGGUCACAAGGUUUGUGACUUCCCUGAGUGCUCCAGUAGGUAACAUCACUAUUGCAGAACUUAAGAGUGGUCAUUUGAGAUGUUUUUCAGAUUUUUGCACCCUGGCAAUUAACUGACCCCACCUGGACCCAUGACUCAUGACUCAAACAGCAGUCCUGUGGCCCCCACCCCGAGAUGGACUCAGCACACAAGGACCAUUUCCCACAUGAUUUCAUCCCCCAACCAAUCAGCAGCACCCAUUCCCUAGCCCCUUGCCCAUCAAAUUAUCUAUUAAAACCCUAGCCUCCAAAUUCUCAGGGAGACUGAUUUGAGUAAUAACUCCAGUCCUUCUUCUUGGCCAGCCUUGCAUUAAUUAAACUACUUCUUUACUGCAAUAAUGCUGUGUCAGUGAAUUGGGUUUAUCUGUGCAGCAGGGAAGAAUAACUCAUUUGGAGAUUACAUUAUGGGCAAGAGCAGAUGGGACUUUUGACCUACUACCACCUGGUCUCCAGCCAGAGCAGCCACACUUGUAUCUGUUCAAUGUGUUCAGAUACAGAGUGAGAUUUCUUUUUGUAACAGGAUUCUGCCAUUAAGAACAAACAAAUCAAAGUUAGAAGACCGCUGAUCAAUGUCAUCUCCAUUAUUUCUUCUACAGUUGGUGAUUGCUUGAUUGCAGUGACCUGCAUUGUGUCCUCCAUGCUACAGGCAAGCAGUGCUGGGAAAGGAAGCAUUAGGCUGGAGGUGGAUUUCCCAUUAAGCCAAUGAGGCUUAAGUAUCACUGCCCCUCACUUGCUGGGCAUUCCAAAGCCCACUACCUAAUUGUGUAUUCACAAUUUAAUGGUUUUUUUUCUUAACAGGGGAUCCUAAGUUGUACAAGCCUCAGGUCCCAUGAGCCCUGGAUUCUCCCUAGUGUUAGCCCCAAUGCUUCUUAAUGUGCAGACACCACUGCAGACCUGUCCUAAGUGACCUGAAAACACAGUCUUAGAACAUAUCAGCCAUUUGGAGUGGGGUGGGAGUUGCUUUGCAAGCUCAACCUAAUCAAAUGAUGGUAAAACCAGUAUUAUAUUAUUCCUGCGAAUGAGGAACAGAUAUAAGGUGUCAGUUAUUACUCAUUUUUCAUCUCCACCAAAACUUUUUCUCAGAGUAGCAUAUCUUAGAGGCUAAGAAUGCAUGCUUUGCAGAUAAACCACCUAGGUUGAAAUUCUGCUUUAUCACUUCCUGGUUAGUGACAUCAAGCACAUUAACCAAUCUCUAAAAACCCGUUUUUGUUUGUUUGUUUUCUGUUUGUUUUUUUACUCUACAAGAUGAGAAAAACAAUUCCCCAUAGAGUUAUGAAGGUUAAAUAAGAUACUAUCAUAAGGAAUGUAACACAAUACCCGGACAUAUUAGCACUAAAUUUUAGUUUUCUUUAUUACCAUUGUUGAGUAAUAAUUUAAGGCAGAAACAACUAGAUUACUGUCUUAGCACCUCAUGAAUAGAACCUUAAUUUUUAGGGGUGUGGUCAUGUGCCCAGCUAAAAGAUAACAUUUUCUGGUUUUCUUCACAGAAAAGUUUUUGUGCCAACGAGAUCUAAGAGGACAAGAAGUCCUUUCAGGAAGUCAUGUGAAAGAAGAGUGAGUGCUCUUCUCUAGGUUUUUCUCCAUCCUUCUCCUUUGAGCUUGAAUGUGAUGGCUGAAACUCCAGCAGCCAUAUCAUAUCAUGUGGACAAGGUUUGUGCCUUAGGGGUGAAGGAAUGGUGAGCAGAGAGUCCAGGUCCCAACUUCAUGGAAUUGCUAUACUAAUCUUGCACUACCUACCUCUCAUAUUCUUCUAUGGCAGUGGUUCUUAAAUCACCUGGAGGGCUUAUUAAACAGAUUUCUGUGCCACACCCCACAGUUUCUAUUUUAGUAGGUCUGGUUUGGAGCCCAAGAGUUUACAUUUCUAACAAUUUCCCAGGUGAUAUGGAUCAUCCUGGUUCAAGGACCAUAUUUUGAAAGCCAACGUUUUAUGUGUUAGAGAAAUAAACUUCUCUUUUGUUUAAGCUACUGCUAUUUUGUGCUAUUCUGUUAUUAAAGAUGAAUUUAAUACAUUAUUUAAAAUUUGUAACUCAUAUGUUACUCAUUUUGCCACCCAAAAUGAAGCAGAAAGGGUGAACUGCAAAUUGAAUUGUUGCCCUCUGAACCAUUCAUUUAUCAAAUGAGUACUGAGCGCCUAGGAUGUGCUAGGCAUUUACGAAAAUAACCAAGACAUAGACCAUGGUUUAACAGCAGUUGCUGCCUGGCUGAUAUCACGUGGAGUACUCAGUUGAGUCAGACUCCUAAUAACCAAUGUCUGCGAGGGAGUGAUGAAGUAAGCCAAUAAUUUUUCAUCUCUCAAUUAGUCUGGAAAUGGGCAUGGUCCUUAGGGACCAUCAAAUGCAGUAGUAAUCAACCCCACCUUCACAUUGGAAUCACCUGAGGAGCUUUAAAAUUCUUAUGCCUAGGCCCCACCUCCAGGGACUCAUAUUUAAUUGGUUUAGGUGGGGAAUCUGGAUUAAAAAUUCCCUCGGUGAUUCUAAUGUGCAUCAAGAUUUAAAACCACUGAUCUAACGCAACCCAAAGAGGUGAGGUGACUGCCCCAAGGUAACUGGCAGAGAGGGUCACAGGCAGGUCUACUGUGCAGUCGAGUGCUCUUUAGAUGCCUGGCUGGCUCCCAAACCUGCCCGAGGCCAGGUGUACUGCCAGGUUAAUUCUCUCUCAGUCUUAAUUGUCAAUGGCACAGGAUGUAUGAUGUUGUAAGCACACAUCUGCUCUCAGCUCAGUACCAGAGAGCUUGCUGUAACUCAUCAGUUUCCCUAACAAGAUUUUCCUUGGUGACAGCGAAACAGAUCAUUUUAAUUAGCAUUAGAUAACGAAUUUAAACGGCAUUGCAGUAAUUCUAAAAUCUCUCUUAACUGUGCUAAAUAACGUCAUGCCACUAGGUAUUCUAGUGGGAUUUAUUGUUGAAGAAUAUUUGUGGUAAGAACACAGCUGAGAAAGCUCCUUAUGUGAGAAUAUUUUCCCUGGUUUUUCUUUGAAUCUACAGUCAGGUUAGAACUAGACUGUCAGAACUACAAGGAUCUAGAUAUCAUCUGGUGUCUUUGCUCCCUCUCUGUGUGCAUCCUCAUCCACUCAUCCCCAGGAUAUGGCUGUGGCCCUCAGGUUAGAUCCUGCUGGUAACAAGGUAUUUGUUCUAUAUCUCCUGAGGAUUCCUCUCCACUGGAAAGUUCUUCUUUACAGUCAGCUGCGAAGGCCCCCUGUAACUUCCACCCUUGUUCCCAGUUCUGCUCUCUGGGAAUUCGUUCUCUGCCCUUCUGUGCCAAGGGAACAGGGCAGCGUCUCUGGGGUCAUCGUAAGGGAUUUGAAUAGAUAUGUUUGGGAUGAAUACUGCUGCUGUUAGACUCUGACUGAAGGGACUGGGAAAAUAAUGCAUUGUCCUUCUGGCCCCAGAAGACCUUGCAAAUAGAUUUCCCCUCCCUCUACAUUAAUAUUAGCAGCAGGUAUUUUUGACUCACAUUUCUCUGAAAGAGAAGAAAAGAAAUAUCUUGGCAACCCUUAAGCCAUUAGGCUGUAGGCAUGCUUAUCUUGUUAUUAGAAUAUUGGUGUCUUCCAGGCCAUAUUCUGAUUUAGAAACAGGGGCUCUGCCUUCUGUUCCUAACUGGCCUAGCCUCACUGUGGACAAGCUGUUGUUCCAUCAUUAGACCUUAGCUUUUUUAAGCUGAGAUUUUUAUGAGUUAAAAGACUCCUACAUUCCGUUUUUUCUUGCAUUUUUUUGAACUCACAUCUCAUAAAGCGAGAUAGUGAAAGAGACAAUUGCUUAAUCACUUCUCUAUGGGCCAGAAUAAAAGUAUUAAUUUUGUUUGGUUCUUUGCCUUAAAAGAAUCUUAGAAUCACAAGGCUCUUUGGAGGUACUGUGCAGCCACCUUCUUAUUUCUUUAAGACAUGCUCUGACACCAACUGAUGUACUGCCAAGCAAUUUCUAUGCUAAUCACCCAGAGCUGAUGUCAGACUUCACAGGUUUAAGGGCAUAGUCACCAACAAGACUGCUUUUAUUUCAAGUGCCAGCCAUACUUCAGGGGUCCCUAGCCCACCCACACGUAUGACCACUAGCUACAAAUUCAGAGAUUCCCACAACACCCUUAAGUUUGAUAAUUCACUAAAACAACUUAGAAAACUCAGGAAAGCACUGUAUAUACAAUUAGUUUUAUACAAGAUAUAAAUCAGGACCAGCCAAAAAAAGAGAUGACAGGGCAAGGUCUGGGAGGGUCCUGAAUGCAAAGCUUCCAUGUCCUAUUCCUGUAGAACCAUCAUGCACCACCCUCUGGCACAUUGAUGGGCUCAAAAACCAGGAAGUUUCCCCACUCAGCUUAAUGUCCAGAGUUUUUGUUGGGGUCUCACUAUGUAGACAUGAUUGAUUGAAUCCUUGACCAUGGAUGGACUCAAUCUCUAGCCCCUCUACCCUUCCUGGAGGUCAGGCUGGCUCAAAGUCCCAAAGCUCUCCUCAUAUAGUAGAUUUUUCUGGUGACCAACCCCCAUCCUGAGUCAACUCAUCUCUUACCAUAAACUCAGAUGUGAUCCAAGAGGUUCAUGAAUAACAAAGACACUGCUAUUAAUUGGGAAACUCUAAGGAUUUAGUCUCCCUCCCAGGAACCGGGGACAAAAGCUAGUCAAAUUCUUUAUUAUAUAAUAGGAUGAUUCAACUAAAUAUGCUUGUUAGUGACAGCAAAGAGUGAGGUGUUUACAGCAAUGCACCUACUAUUAUACCCCAUCAGUGUGUGCCCCAAAGUGAACGUGAAAUAGGAUACUUGAAUCAGUGAUUGCAGUGGUUGCUUUAUUUAGUUCCUCCACAUCUACAAAACCUCUCACAGGUUUUUAAGCACUGUGAUGCCAGUGCUUAAAAAAUUGCAUUCUUUAUUAUAUUGUGCAUUAUUAAAUAUAUAAUACAUUUGUACAUAUAUAUCACAUGUCCUAAAACCGUGAUUCAUAUACCAUAUUUCACAGGUAAUUUUCAAGGCAAUUUUGGCAUAUGUGAUUUUUGCCUUACUGACUUUAGAGCCUAACUUUGAAGUAAAAUGCUAUUCCACUAUGCAGUAUUGCCAGCAGACUUCAAUAGCCUUCCAGAAGUUUGAUUAGCCAAACCCUGUUUGAACAUUUCUAAUGACAAGGAGUCUUCCCAGACUUAAGAGUCAACCCGUUAUUGUUGGGCAGCCUUCAUUGUUAGAGGGUAGUUUCUUAUCUGCAACCUAAAUCUUCCGCCUGAUACUGUGAUUGUACCCUCUAGAGCCACACAGAGGACAUCCUCUGUCAGAAGUAAGGGCUUUAAAUAUUUGGAGACAGGGAUCCUGUAUCCCCUAAGUCUUCUUUUCUCCAAAACAAACAUUUCCUGGUUUCUUCAACUAUUUUUUGUAAAUCUUUCUACAUAUGUUUUUAGGACAACCUCAUCUGCCUUCUCUUGAGUAUUUAAUGUCCCCUAUAAAGUAAAAUGUAAAGUACUGUAUACAAUACUACAAGAGUAGUUAAGCAGUUAUAGCUCUACAUUUCAUAACUUGAUAUUCGAUUUUCAUUAAUUCAGUGAUCCUAAGAUUACACCUUUUUGAGGCGAAUUAGAAUUUCUUACUCUUUUUCACAGAUCAAGUGGUGUGUGUUAGUGGGCAUGUGUUGUCUUUGGAUGCCCACCAUUGAUUUCUCUUUCUCCUGGUAACUGCAUCAUGAUUUUUCCUUGGCCAGCGCUUUUCUACCCUCAGUCUCUGUACCCGGGGAUAGAAAUAAUAACCCAGGACUAAACAAUCGUGUUCCAAUCCCUGUCACCAAAGUGACCGGAUCUUUUGCUUAAGCUAUUGGGGUUGCAAGUGUUGAUAUGAUAAAAGCCUUAAAUUACUACUGAAGGAAGCCAACAUGGAGGAAAGCGGAACUGAGCAACACGGGGAGAAAAAUGAAGUCUUUGUGACAUCAUUUGAGUCCAGCUUCAUUGUGCCUAAACCUGGCUUUAACCUGUAUUUUUCAGUUUGACAAAAAUAAAACCAGAUCAAGUUGGAACAAUUUAGAAGUUUUUAAAGUACAGGCCAUGAUCUGGGGAACUUCAAACUGAAAGCAUUAAGAAGCUCAACCCACAGCAGUUACAGCACAGUUUAUUAAGUGAGAAUGAGAAAGAACAUUAUUCCCUAUCAUGAUGGGCUACUUGAAACUUAUCUUUUCAAGCCGCUGUGCUCUAUAAGCUUACCUAUUGAUAGCUAAUUAGCUGGAAAUUGUAAGGUCAUGCUGACCUGGGAAAGCUUAAAUUGUGUUUAUGGUUACAGCUAGUAUUAGAGGGGAAUCAGGACAGUUUUAAUUUUCACUCGUGGCUAUCGAUGUCUGUUUUAAGGGGAUAAUCAAACUGUGGCCUCUUAAAAGUGUAUCUUUAACAUUUUCCCCUCUUUGGUCACACACUCAGUUAACUGGGAGUGUGGCCAACUAUUAAGCGUUACUCUCAGUUACCACAUACUGUUUUCUUCUCCCACGCUCAUCUAAAGAUUGCAUACUGAAAUUAUCAUAGGUUAUUUUCUUAUGAUUUGAGUUCAUAUAGUUUCUGCCCUUCAAUUCUCGUGGAGAUCAUCCAAUGAUUUAGUGGCUGCUGACAAGCAUGUAAGCCUCUUGAAAGAAUAUAAUGUACAGGGGAUAUUGUCAAUAUGACUAAUAGGAGGGUAAUACCAGGAGUUUGAGAAAUACCCCAAAGCCAAGGUCCCCCAGAGUCAAGUUUUAACCACUAACGGAUAAACUGAUUGGGCUUUCCCAAUUAGGUGGAAUACUUGGAUUUUAUCUUUUAGGUCUCCAGAUUCUGGGCUUACAAUUCCUUGUUUAUGGACAUAAAAACAGCAUCUUUCUCCAAUAAGCGCACAAGCUCUUCCUUGUUGAGUAGUUAGGGUAUCAAGAACUUUUCUGUUUUGAAGUACAGAAGGUCCUCAACUUAUGAUGGUUGGACUCAUGAUUUUUCCAUUUAAUGAUGGUGCAAAAGAGAUAUGUUUCACUAGGCUCCUUGACUUAAGAUAGGAUUAUGUCCCAGUAAGCCCAUGGUAAAUUAAAACUACAAGUCUAGAAUGUGCUGUCAACUUAAGAUUUUUUUUUUUACUUAGGAUGGCCUUAUCCAGAUGUAGCCGCAUUAUAGGUUGGGGAGCAUCUGCACUACUGAGGCUAAACUGCUCAUUUUAGAUUUUAUCAGUUGAAGAGAAUUUAAGGUACCAUUAAAUUAUUUUGCAAGAGUUGCAGAAACAUUGAUAAGUGAUUUUUGUAAUUCAAACACUCCCAUUUGAGGGCAGAAUUCUCUAGUAAGAGAAUAAGAUCCAGAACUUCUUCAUAUAAUGAGGUUUUGAGACUAAUGAGAAACUUAUGGGGGCGGGAGGGUUCUGUGUACAAAUGAUCCUGUUAAGAAUUUGACUAUCAUUUAGAAGUCGUAUUUAGUUAAUUGGGGUGAGAACCCAAAUCACAGUGUCCAGAUCAUUCGAGUGGAAAACAUUUAUAGGUCUUAUUACCACACAGAAUGAAAAACCCAGUAUUACCGAGAUAAAGUAUUAAGACAGAUCCCACUACCCACAAAUCAGGAGUGAGAUGAAUGUCGUGAUUAUUUUUUGGCAUGUUGGCGUGUGCACAUUGUCAGUUUGAAUGAUUGUGGUUUAAACCAGGAUAGGAGCAAAAAACACUUCCUUGAAUUGGAUGAAUAAUCUAUGCAUUCAGUCAUAAAUUAAAUAUGAUUAACUCCCUUUCUUGAUAUGUCCUGUGUAUUGAUCUAUCCAGCAUCCAAAACUGUUAUCUACCUUACAUAGUGGUACGUUUGAGGCAUUCCAUUUACCUACAGUUUCCAUUGAGCCAAUGUAUGGGUUUCAGUAGGUUCCUUAAUGAUGUAACAUUGUCAAUUUUUAAUGAUGUUAUGUUAUUAUGUAUAGAAGUCCAGUCUUCAUCAUCUGAAUCAAACCAAAGGAUUUAAUUACAGAGUGAAUCUGGGACCUUACCUAAGUUAGAUCUAGUACCAUUAAGGCUUUCUAUGCAUACAGAUAAGUCACCAGUAAUAAAACUUACAGUAACUAGAAGCUAUCCCAUGGCUUCCAGUGCUUCUUCCCAAUGCCAAACCAGCUGGCCAUGAGUAUUAGUCAGAUGACUUAUGUUAAACCUUUUUGUAAAGUCAUUUUCCUGAAUGGGUCAACAAAUCAUAUAUAGGAGCUGGUUCUAGUAUUAAUUGAAAUUCUUCCCAAGUUUUUGUUUGUUUGUUUGUUUGUUUGUUUUAACAGAGACAGGGUCUAGCUCUGUUGCCCAAGCUGGAAUGCUGUGGUGGGAUCAUAGCUCACUACAACCUCCAACUUCUAGGCUCAAGUGAUCCUCUCGCCUCAGCCUCGUGGACUACAGGUGCCUGCAACCAUUUCUGGCUAUUUAAAAAAAAAAAAAAAUUGUGGAGACAGAGUCUUGCUGUAUUGUCCAGGCUAGUCCUGAACUCCUGGGCUCAAAUGAUCCUCCUGCUUUGGCUUCCUAAAGUGUUGGAAUUACAGGCAUGAACCACUGCAUCCAGCCUUCCCAAGCAUUUAGAUGGCUACAAAACCAUCAAUUAUUUGGGUUAGUGAGGGAGGCUAUGUGUUGGAGAGUAGACCUUAGUACAUGUUCAGCUUGUGUGGUGUAUGUUCGUAACAGAAAUAAAAGUGUGAGUUUAAACAUUGUGUAUUAGUUUUCAAAGUAGUAGGAUCACAGUCAUCUUACUAUGAUUAUUUUGGAAGUUAAGAGCAAAUUCUGGAAAGAUAAAGGGAAUACAAGGGGGCACUGUUCCAUGUUCUUGGGCAGAAGCUGUCCACCUCAUUUUGUCAUCUGUUUCUGGGGAAAACUUUUCCUUCAAUAUACUUAAUUUUAAGUCAACUGUGGCUUGACAUGUCCAGUAGUCUGAGGAAGCUCUUUUCGGUUGAGAGAUAUGGACCCAAGUUUUGAUGCCCUCUAAUUUAACUACUGUAUGAGACAUACAAGAAUGUGAUAGGAUUUUUUUUUUUUUCAGUGAGGCUCAAGUACAGUUUUUCAUUGAUGUCUUUUUCAGAACAUCCAGUCAUCAAGUUCCAAUGUGUUGGGCAUGAAGUCAUCAUUAGACAAUGGAGUCUUGCACUGUCGCCUGGCCUAGAGUGCAGUCAUGCAAUCUUGACUCACCGCAACCUCCACCUCCCGGGUUCACUUGAUUCUCCUGCCUCAGCCUCUCGAGUAGCUGGGAUUACAGGUGCACACCACCACACUGGGCUAAAUUAUAUUUUGUAUUUUUAGUAGAGACAGGGUUUCACUAUGUUGGUCAGAAUGGUCUUGAACUUCUGACUUCAUGAUCCGCACGCCUUGGCCUCCCAAGGUGCUGAGAUUACAGGUGUGAGUCACCACGCCCGGCUGAUCAGUUUUUCCUAUGCUUGUUGGCCUCAUGUAUGUUUUUUCAGAAGUGUCUGUUCAUGUACUUUGCCCAUUUUUGAAUAGAGUUGUUUGGUUUUUGCUUGUUAAUUUGUUUAAGUUCAUUAUGGAUUUUAGAUAUUAGGUCUUUGUCAGAUGCAUAGUUUGCAAAUAUUUUCUCCCAUUCUGUAAGUUGUCUGAUUAUUCUGUCAAUAGUUUUUUGUUUGUUUGUUUUUAUUGUUUUGUUUUUCCUGUGGAGAAGCUCUUUAGUUUAAUUAGGUCCUGCUUAUCAAUUUUUAUUUUUGUUGCAAUUGUUUUUGGAGUCUUAAUAAUAAAAUCUUUGCCAGGGCCUACAUCCAGAAUGGCAUUUUCUAUGGUUUCUUCUUGAGGUUUUAUAGUUUUAGGUUUUAUUAGUAUUUUUUUAGUCUAAUUUAAUUUAUUUUACGUUCUGGGAUACAUAUGCGGGACGUGCAGGUUUGUUACAUAUGUAAAUGGUUACCGUGGUUUGCUGCACCUAUCAACCCAUCACCUAGGUAUUAAGCCUCACAUGCAUUAGCUAUUUAUCCUGAUGCUCUUCCUUCCCCCGUACCCUCACACCAACACACCCCAGUGUGUGGUGUUCCCCUCCCUGGUGUGAGGUGUCCCCCCUCAUUGUUCAGCUCCCACUUAAAAGUGAGAACAUGCAGUGUUUGGUUUUCUGUUCCUUUGUUAGUUUGCUGAGGAUAAUGGCUUCCAGCUCCAUCCACGUCUCUGCAAAGGACAUGAUCUCAUUCUUUUUGUGGCUGUAUAGUAUUCCAUGGUUUAUAUGUACCACAUUUUCUUUUUCCAGGCUAUUAUUGAUGGCCACUUGGGUUGAUUCCAUGUCUUUGCUAUUGUGAAUAGUGCUGCAAUGAACAUACAUGUAAAUGUAUCUUCAUAAUAGAAUGACUUAUAUUUCUUUGGGUAUAUACCCAGUAAUGGGAUUGCUGGGUCAAAUGGAUUUCUGGUUCUAGGUCUUUAAGGAAUCACCACAUUGUCUUCCACAAUGGUUGAACUAAUUUACAUUCCUACCAACAGCAUAAAAGUGUUCCCAUUUCUCCUCAGCCUUGCCAGUAUCUGUUAUUUCUUGACUUUUUAAUAAUCACCAUUGUGACUGGCAUGAGAUGAUAUCUCAUUAUGGUUUUGAUAUGCAUUUCUCUAAUGGUCAGUGAUGCUGGGCUUUUUUUCUUAUGUUUGUUGGCCACAUAAAUGUCUCCUCUUGAGAAGAGUCUGUUUAUAUCUUUUGCCUACUUUUUAAUGGGGUUGUUUUUUUCUUGUAAAUUUGUUUAAGUUCCUUGUAGAUUCUUGAUAUUAGACCUUUAUCAGAUGGAUAAAUUGUGAAAAUUUUCUCCCAUUCUGUUCGUUGUCUGUUUGCUCUGAUGAUAAUUUGUUUUGCUGUGCAAAAGCUAUUUAAUUAGAUCCCAUUUGUCAAUUUUUGCUUUUGUUACAAUUGCUUUUCUUUUUUUUUGUUUUGUUGUUGUUGCAAUUGCUUUUGAUGUUUUCGUCCUGAAAUGUUUGCCUGUGCUUAUGUCCUAAAUGGUGUUGCCCCAAUUUACUUCUAGAGUUUUUAUGGUUUCAGAUUUUACAUUUAAUUCUUUAGUCCAUUUUGAGUUAAUGUUUGUAUAAGAAGUAAGGAAAGCGGCCAGGCAUGGUGGCUCAUGCCUGUAAUCUCAGCCCUUUGGGAGGCCAAGGCAGGUGGAUUACUCGAGGUCAGGAGUUAAAGACCAGCCUGGCCAACAUGGUGAAACCCUGUCUCUACUAAAAAUACAAAAAUUAGCUGGGUGUGGUGGCACACACCUGUAGUCCCUGCUACUUGGGAGGCUGAGGCAGGAGAAUCGCUGGAAUCCAGGAGGCAGAGGUUGCAGUGAACCAAGAUUGUACCACUGCACUCCAGCCUGAGUGACAAAGCGAGACUUCAUGUCAAAAAAAAACAAAAAGGAAGGAGGCCGAGUUUCAAUUUUUGCAUAUGGUUAGCCAGUUCUCUGAGUACCAUUUAUUAAAUAGGAAAUCCUUUCCCUAUUGCUUGUUUUUGUCAGGUUUGUGAAACAUCAGACAGUUGUAGAUGUGCAGUCUUAUUUCUGAAAUCUCUAUUUGGUUCCAUUGGUCUAUGUGUUUGUUUUUGUACAAGUGCCAUGCUGUUUUGGUUACUGUAGCCUUGUAGUAUGGUUUGAAGUCAGGUAGUGUGAUGCCUCUAGCUUUGUUCUUUUUGCUUAGGAUUGUCUUGGCUAUACACACUCUUUUUUGGUUCCAUAUGAAUUUUAAAGUAGUUUUUUUCUAAUUCUGUGAAAAAUGUCAAUGGUAGUUUAAUGGGAAUAGCAUUGAAUCUAUAAAUUACUUUGGGCCAUAUGGCCAUUUUCACGAUAUUGAUUCUUCCUCUUCAUGAGCAUGAAAUGUUUUUCCAUGUUUAUGUCCUCUCUUAUUUCCUUGAGCAGUGGUUUGUCAUUUUCCUUGAAGAGGUCCUUCACUUCCCUUUUUACGUAUAUUCUAGGUAUUUUAUUCUCUUUAUAGCAAUUGUGAAUGGUGGUUCAUUCAUGAUUUGGCUCUCUGCUUGUCUAUUUUUGGUGUAUAGAAAUGCUUGUGAUUUUUGUCCAUUGAAUUUGUAUCCUGAGACUUUGCUGAAGUUGCUUAUAAGCUUAAGAAGCUUUCUGGCUGAGAUGAUGGGGUUUUCUAGAUAAAGGAUCAUGUCAUCUGCAAACAGACAGUUUGACUUCCUAUCUUCCUAUUUGAAUACGUUUUAUUUCAUUCUCUUGCUUGAUUGCCCUGGCCAGGACUUCCAAUACUAUGUUCCAAUACUUCCAAUAGGAGUGGUGAGAGAGGGAAUCAUUGUGCUGGUUUUCAAGGGGAACGCUUCCAGCUUUUACCCAUUCAGUAUGAUAUUGGCUGUGGGUUUGUCAUAAAUGGAUCUUACUAUUUUGAGGUAUGUUCCAUCAAUUACCUAGUUGAUUGAGAGUUUUUAACAUGAUGGGAUGCUAAAUUAUAUUGAAGGCCUUUUCUGCAUCUAUUGAGAUAAUCAUGUAGUUUUUGUUUUAUUUUAUGUGAUGGAAUACAUUUGUUGAUUUGUGUAUGUUGAACCAGCCUUGUAUCCUGGGGAUGAAGCCUACUUGAUUGUGGUGGAUAAGCUUUUUGAUGUGCUGCUGGAUUCAGUUUGUGAGUAUUUUUUGAGGAUUUUUGCAUCAAAGUCCAUCGGGGAUAUUGGCCUGAAAUUUUUGUUGUUGUUGUUGUUGUUGUUAUAUCCCUGCCAUUUUGGUAUCAGGAUGAUGCUGGCCUCAUAAAAUGAGUUAGGGAGAAGUUCUUCCUUUUCAAUUGUUUGGAAUAGUUUCAGAAGAAAUGGUACCAGCUCCUCUUUGUGCCUCUGGUAGAAUUCAGCAGUAAAUCCAUCUGGCUGGGCUUUCUUUGAUUGAUAGGCUAUUUAUUACUGCCUCAGUUUCAGAAUUUGUUAUUGGUUUAUUCAGGGAUUCAACUUCUUCCUGGUUCAGUCUUGGGAGGAUGUAUGUGUUCAGGAAUUAAUCAAUUUCUUCUGGAUAUUCUAGUCUAUUUGCAUAGAGGUGUUUACAGUAUUCUCUGAUGGUUGUUUGUAUUUCUGUGGGGUCAGUGGUGAUAUCUCCUUUAUCAUUUUUUAAUUGUGUCUAUUUUAUUAUUCUCUUUUUUAUUCUUUAUUAGUUUAGCUAGUGGUCUAUGUAUUUUAUUACUUUUUCCAAAAAAAAAAAACAGUUCCUGGCUUCAUUGAUUUUUUGAAGGGUUCUUCAUGUCUCUGCCUCCUUCAGUUCUGCUCUGAUCCUGGUUAUUUCUUGUCUUCUGCUGGCUUUGGGGUUUGUUUGCUCUUUGUUCUCUAGUUCUUUUAGUUGUGAUGUUAAGAUGUCAAUUUGAGAUCUUUCUUGUUUUUUAAUAUGGGCAUUUUAGUGCUAUAAAUUUUCCUCUUAACACUGCUUUAGAUGCAUCCCCAAGAUUCUGGUACAUUGUCUCUUUGUUCUCAUUGGAUUCAAAGAACUUCUUGAUUUCUGCCUUAAUUUCAUUAUUUACCUAGGAGUCAUACAGGAGCAAAUUGUUCAAUUUCCAUGUAGUUGUGUGGUUUUGAGUAAGUCUCUUAAUCUUGAAUUCUAAUUUGAUUGCACUGUUGCGUGAGAGACUGUUAUGAUUUCAGUUUCUUUGCAUUUGCUGAGGAGUGUUUUACUUCAAAUUAUGUGAUCGAUUUUAGAGCAAGCGCCAUGUGACACCCAGAAGAAUGUAUACUCUGUUGUUUUGGGGUAAAGAGUUCUAUAGAUAUUGUAUUAGUUCAUUUUCAUGCUGCUGAUAAAGACAUACUCAAGACUGGGCAAUUUACAAAAGAAAGAGGUUUAAUUAAACUUACAAUUCCACGUGGCUGGGGAAGCCUCACAAUCAUGGUAGAAGGCAAGGAGGAGCAAGUCACAUCUUAUGUGGAUGGCAGCAGGCAAAGAGAGAGUGCUUGUGCAGGGGAACUCCUCUUUUUAAAACCAUCAGAUCUCUUGAGACUUAUUCACUAUCAUGAGAACAGCAUGGGAAAGAAUUCCCCCCCAUGACUCAGUUACCUCCCACUGGGUCCCUCACACAACAUGUGGGAAUUCAAGAUGAGAUUUGAGUAGGGACACAGCCAAACCGUAUCAGAUAUCUAUCAGGUCCACUUGAUCCAGAGCUGAGUUCAAGUUCUGUUUGUUUGUUUUUCUUUUAACAGUCAGGUCCCUCUUCUGUAGGGGUGCUUUGGUUUGCUGGAGGUCCAUUGCAGACCCUAUUCACCUGGGUCCUUUCUGCACCUGGAGUGGUGGUGCAGAACAGCAAUGAUGGCUGCCUGCUCCUUCCUCUGGGAUCUCUGUCCCAGAGGGACACCGACAUGAUACCAAUGGGAAUGCUCCUGUAUCAGGUGUCUGGCGACCCCUGUUGGGGGGUCUUACCCAGUCUGGAGGCACAUGAUCUGGGACCCGCUUAACGAAGCACUCUGGCUGCUCCUUGGUGGAGGGGUUACGCUGUGCUUGGGGGAAUCCCACUUGUCUGGACUGCCCAGAUUCCUUAGAGCCAGCAGGGGGAAAGGCUAAGUCUGCUGAUCCAUGGAGACCACAGCCACCCCUCCCAACAAGGGCUCAUUCCCAGGGAUAUCAGUGUUUUGUCCCUAAACACCUGGCUGGAGUUGUGAAAUUUCUGCAGGGAGGCCCUGCCCGGUGAGGAGGGAUGGGUCAGGGCCUGGCUCAAAGAGGCAGUCUGGCCACAAUCUGCCACAGCCACUAUGCUGUGCUGUCUGGAAUUCCUCAUGGGUCCAAACCGUCCAGUCUCCCAUGGCAGAGUGGAGCUGCAGUGAUGGCACCCGCUCAGCAGGAAGCCCAGGGAGCUCAGCAGGCAGCCACGGUGAUGAUGGCUGUCCCUUCCCCUGGGAAACUCUGUAGUCUUAGGCAGUCUCCAGCCAAGUGGCUGCUGAGAAUCUGCACAGCUCUGUGCUUGGGACCCAAGGCCCUAGUAGUGUAGGCUUAUGAAAGGGAUUUUCUGAUCCCAAGGUUGCACAAAUCCAUGGAAAAAGCAUGGUUUCCUGGGCAGGGUAGCAUGAUUACUCAUCGCCUCCCUUGGCUGGGAGUGGGAGCUCCGCUUGCCCUGCGUGGCUUCCAGGUGGGGUGUUGCACCAUCCUGCUUUUCCUCACUUUCUGUAGGUCAUGCCAACUGCCUAGUCAGUCCCAGUGAGAGAAGCUGGAUACCUCAGUUGCUGGUGCAGGAUUCACUCACCAUUCUUUUUCUCCUUGGUGGGAGCCUCCGACCACAGCUGUUUCUAGUCAGCCAUCUUUAGGUUUUAUAUUUAAGUCUUUGAUCUAUCUUGAGUUGAUUUUUGUGUAUGGUAAAAGGAAGGGGUUCAGUUUCAGUCUUCUGCAUGUGGCUAGUCAGUUAUCCCAGCACCAUUUAUUGAAUAGGGAGUCUUUUCCCCAUUGCUUGCUAUUGUCAGCUUUGUCAAAGAUCAGAUGGUUGUUGGUGUGUGGCUUUAUUUCUGGGUUCUCUGUUCUGUUCCAUCAGUCUAUGUGUCUGUUUUUGUGCCAGUAAAAUGCUGUUUUGAUUACUGUAGCCUUGUAGUAUAGUUUGAAGUCAGGUAAUAUGAUGCCUCUGCCUUUGUCCUUUUUGCUUAGGAUUGCUUUGGGUAUUCUGGCUCAUUUUUUAUUCCAUAUGAAUUUUAGAAUAGUUUUUUCUAAUUCUUUGAAAAAUGUCAUUGGUAGUUUGAUAGUAUUCCUUAGAAUCUGUAAAUUUAUUUGGGUCACGUGGUCAUUUUAACAAUGUUGAUUUUUCCAAUUCAUGAGGAUGGAAUGUUUUUCCAUUUGUAAGUGUCAUCUCUGGUUUCUUUCAGCAGUGUUUUGUAAUUCUCAUUGUAGAGACCUUUCAUUUCCUUGGUUAGUUGUAUUCCUAAGUAUUUUAUUCUUUUUGUGGCUAUUGUGAAUGGGAUUGCAUUCUUGAUUUGGCUCUCAGCUUGGACGUUAUUAGUGUACAGAAAUGCUACUGAUUUUUAUACAUUGAUUUUGUAUCUUGAAACUUUGCUGAAGUUGUUUGUCAGAUCUAGGAGCCUUUGGGCAGAGACUAUGGGAUUUUCUAGGUACAGAAUCCCAUCAUUUGCAAAGGGAGAUAAUUUGACUUCCUCUCUUCCUAUUUGGAUGCCUUUUAUUUAUUUCUCUUGACUGAUUACGCUAGCUAGGACUUUCAGAACUAUGUUGAAUAGGAGUAGUAAAAAUGGGCAUCCUUGUCUUGUUCUGGCUCUAAAGGGAAAUGCUUCCAGCUUUUGCUCGUUCAGUAUGAUCUUGGCUAUGGGGUUGUCAGAUGGCUUUUAUUUUUUGAGGUAUGUUCCUUUGAUGCCUAGUAUGUUGAGGGUUUUUAUCAUAAAGGGAUGUUGAAUUUCAUCAAAAGCCUUUUCUCCAUCUGUUGAGAUAAUCAUGUGGUUUUUGUUUUUAGUUCUGUUUAUGUGGUGAAUUACAUUUAUUGAUUUGCAUAUACUGAAGCAACCUAGUAUCCAGGAUAAAGCCUACUUGAUCGUGGUGGAUUAGCUGUUUGAUUCACUGCUGGAUUUUGUUUGCUAAUAUUUUGUUGAGAAUUUUCACAUCUGUAUUCAUCAGAAAUAUUUAGCCUUUAAUUUCGUAUUAGCACACCGUAAAGUUUUUUUUAAGAUAAGCUAUUUUAGAAUCAUUCUGUCUUUUAGAAUUUUCUGCAUGCUAAUCAAAGAAUGCAUUCAAUCAUUUUUGAGAGGUUUUGUAUCCUUUCUUUUUCAAGGGCACCUCAAAGAUGAACUAAUUUUACCUAGGUUAAAGGUUCCUUAAAGUGACCACCGCAAUUCCAAAUUAUCUGUAGUAAAUUUCACCCAUUUUUCCAAGAAGGCACAAGAUUUUAGUCCAUAGUUUUUAAACGUACGAACAGCUAGAUUUCCAGAUGAAAGAUUGAUUUCUAGUUAUUUUGGACUUGGAAAAACCUAUUCUGGCCUUCCCUUCAGGUUCCCUUGGAUUCCAGGUAAGCUAUGGGGAGUCUAGCCAAAGGAGCUAUUCUUCUGGAAUCUAGGGAACCAAUAACCCCCCCUUCCUUAUCAAAUAGAAAAGAUGACUUACCUAAGCUCAGAAAAAAACAACAGAAUAUUCCUCAUUAUGUAUGACAAACAGAGAGCUCAUGAAAGGGACUUACCCUCGAACUCCACAGUCAGCAAGAAAGUAGUGAGUACAAUGGGCUCUGUAGGUACUAGUAUCUGGUUACUCACUGGCUUUGAAGGAGGAAUGUGGAAUUCUUUGGAUCCUACUUCUGACACCAAAACUGUCAAAAAUAAAACUAGAUCAAGUUAGGAAAAUUUUAAAGUGUAUUUUCAUUCAAUAAGAGAAAGUACAGGUCAUGAUCUGGUAGACUUAAACCUAAAAGUGAUAAGAACUUCAGCUCAUAGCAGUUAUAGCUUGAGACUACAGUUAUAAAACUAUAGUUAUAAAACAUGAAUGAAGCUGGGCACGGUGGCUCAUGCCUGUAAUCCUAGCACUUUGGGAGGCCAAGGCAGGCAGAUCACUUGAUGCCAAGAGUUUGAAAUCAGCCUGGCCACCAUGAAAAAAUCCCAUCUCUACUAAAAAUACAAAAAUUAGCCAGGCGUGACGUUGGGUAGGGGGGUGGUGCCUGUAAUUCCAGCUACUCAGGAGGCUGAGGCAGGAGAAUUGCUUGAACCCAGGAGGCAGAGGCCUCAGUGAGCCAAGAUCAUGCCACUGCACUUGAGCCUGGGCAAAAGAGCAAGACUCCAGCUAAAAAAUAAAUAAAUAAAAAGAAAAAGAAAACGUGAAUGAGGAAGUACAUUUUUUCCUAUUAUGACUAGCUACUUGAAACUCACUUUAUUUUUAGGGUAGCAGUUCUGCCUAAUCUUACUUGUUUUAGCUGAUUGCAUAGGAAUUACCAAAUUCUAAUGACCUCAGAAAGCUUGAAUUUUGCUUAUGGUUAGAGGUAGCAUUUCAGGAAAAUCAGGAUACUUUUAAUUGUCACUUAUGUGAUUCUGAAUGUUUUUGUUCUAGGGGUAUAUUCAAACUGUGGCCUUCAAAAAGUGUAUCUUUAACAAAUUGAUACUUGAAACACAUUGCUGGGGCUUUUGUUGGCUUGUUUGUUGUUUAAACCAAUUUUAGCUUUAGUGAAAACAGUCCUAACUUACAUACAUAGAAAACUUACAUGUUUUCUAUGCAGCGGUAUGGUAGGAAAUGUUUAACAAUAGGCUUUUAUUGGUAGGGAAAAGAAAAGGCCCUGUUUUACUGUGCUUGCUCGUUUCUGUAGUCUAAAUGCUCCCACCAUGACCAACUACAAACUAGUGACAUGAUGUUGACCUACUGACAAAUUUUUUGAAAAUGUAGCAGUCAGCUUUCACAAGCCAGCUGCAGCACACCACUGUGUCUGUAUUUUUGCUCAAGUUUUUAAUAAAAUUUUUAAUCAAGACCAUGCCUAGGACCAAGGCCAAUAGCACCAAUUAAAGUCUCCUUUGUUGUCAAGCUGACAUGGAUGCAUCAAUCAAUACUCUUUGGGCAAGUCCAAAAAGCUGCAAGUUUAACUCUUUAUGCUAGUAUCCAGCCCAUUUGUUUACUUUGUCCAAUGUCAAGAAAGAAUGUCAGAAAUGUUGCUAAUGCAAGUUAUCUGCAUCCUUCUGCUCUGUCAAUCCUGCUACCAUGUCAGGAGAAAUUAGGUUACUUUGUCAUGCUUGCACUUCAGACCCCAUGGUGGCUUCUGAUGAUCACUGCUUUCCAUUCUAAAUGGAAAACCAUCUGCUAAAUACCUGAUGCUGGAAUUUUUAUUGCAUAGCAAUGGUUUGUUGUUUUUGGAAUCUGUCUUGCACCCCUCCCUGGAAACCUUAACAUGGCUCGUGUCCAGUCUUCUCUUUCACAGAUUAUUUUACAUAUAUGCCAUGGGAGAAAAAAAUAAUUGAAGUUGGAAUUUUGUCUUACUUUUUUUUAUUUUUCAUAAUUUUGCCAACAUCUGUUUUUCCUCCAACAGAUCUGCAAGUAUGGGUCUAGAAGUCUGCUUAUUUAAAGAAACUUGGGUUCUUUUCUGGUCUGUUGUUCAAUCUUGAGAUUUGUGCCUCUCUUAAUAAUGUUCGCUGUAGGAUUUUUUAUAAGAAGCAUACCCCCACAGGUAGAAUUCCUGUUUCUCUCUCUUUUUUCUUCACCCAAAUACUCUUUCUUGUGAGUCUAUUUCAGUCUAUGGAUUUCCAGCUAACGUCACACCCUCUUAACAUUCCAUAUGACUCCCUUUUCCCUUCUGCUAAAUAUUUCUCUUGUAUGAUUCAACUUUUCUUUUGGUCAUAUUAGGUGAGAUCUUCAACCCACCACAUCUCCUUGAUACCUAUGAGACUGUAGUUCCCUACUUGGAUGAAAAUUUCAUGUUUAGUAUGUUCAUUCCUACUCUUUGUGCAGAACUAUAUAGACUUCUGAGAUCAUAAGUGCUGUAGUUGAAUCCAUUCUCAAUGAAUUCCUAGUGGGAAUUACUGUCAUUUUCUCUAGUCAUUCUUCUUUCUUGCUUUUAUGUUUCAGUGUAAGGAACUCUUUCUCAGGUUAUAAAUCAUGAGCAGGCAAAGGCAUUCUUCUUGUCCCCUGAUGUUUUAUCCAUAUCCCUGGCCUAGGAUGCCACAGCCCUGAUAGUCAAAAUCCUAUUCUUGGGUAUCAUCAAUGCAGCUGGCUCUUCACUUCCAAAAUCUUCCUUAUUUCAGCUGUCCCUGGGGGAAAACUAAGAAAAUAAGAUGCAACUACAUCCCUGAGUUGCCAAACCAUGCAGCAGGAUGACAUAAUGGCUAUCUCAUUCAAAGAGGAAUCAUUAUUCUUGCAUUCUAGUGUCACCUUGGCUACUUACUCUGUGACCUAGAACAAGCCACUUUAACCCUCUGGGCUCUGCUUUUGUCCUCUAAUAAGCAGAAAUAAUAAUGCCUUGACUGCCUGUAUCUCAGAGUUAUGUUCACAAUGAAAUUAGAUGAUGUACAUAAAAGUGUUUGUGCACUAGUCAUUACAUACAGGUGAGAUACUGUUAGUAACAUUACCAAGGCUUCUUGUGAAAUGUGGGAUGUGAAAUUGAGCAAGAUAUAUAGAUUCAACAUCAGAAUAGAAGGAGAAAAAAGACUAAUCAAUUUGCUGAACUCAUUAAUCUUCAUUUGAUGUUUAGCUGAUGUCUGUACUCGUAAAGGUACUCAGCUAAACACAGGAAAGGAGCUUUUAGGACUAGUGAGAUUUUUUUUCUUAAGCAAGCCUUAAUGAAACCGUGCUGGCUGAUAAGCACUGCAAUUAACUGCUUUGCUAUCACUUUUAAACAAACCUUUCUCUCCAUUUUUGUCCCUGGGGGAGAUAAGAAGGGGGAGGUGGAGAGAUAAAAAUAUUGGCUUGUUUUCAUGUUGAUAAUUUACAGCUGAUAAACUGAAUUGCUGCUCUUAUCAGUGGGUUGUCUAGAAGGUUUGUUUAGAAUCCACUGGUUACUCAUAAAGUCUCAAAUAAGGGAGAGGUGCCAGAUUUGGGCCUGGCCUAUGCCAUAAUUUCUCCCCAGUUGGAGAUACUGUCAGAAAUACGGUUUUACAGGAGAUUUUCAAGUUAAAACAGAGUAAUUUAAAAGUCAUUGAUGAGGCCAGGCGUGGUGGCUCAUGCCUGUAAUCCCAACACUUUGAGAUGCCAAGGCAGGCAGAUUACUUGAAGCCAGGAGUUUGAGUGGAGCCUGCACAACAUGGUGAAACCCUGUCUUCACUAAAAUACGGUAGUAUUUAGUGUCUUCACUAAAAAUACAAAAUUUAGCCACUCGGAAGGCUGAUCACGAGAAUGGCUUGAACCCCAGAGGCAGAGGUUGCAGUGAGCCAAGAUCAUGCCACUGCACUCCAACCUGGGCAACAGAGGGAGACUCUGUCUCAAAAAAUAAAAAUAAAAAUAAAAUAAGUCACUGAUUACAUGUGAAUAUCAUUAUGUGAAUAAUAAGAAGACAAAAGAUUAUCCAAAAUUUAUGGGGGGGCGGUGUAUAUUUUACCCUCCCUCCACCCCCCCCAGCCAAGAGUACUUCAGUGCCUCUGAACUCAUUGACCAUAAAUUCGUUAACAAGAUCAGACCUUAUUCACUACAUCCUGGUUUCUCCUGUAAUUUAGAAGUGAAACCACCUUUGCAAAAAUUAUAACAGUGAGAAAAUUAUGACGGUGAAAGAGAUCUGACCUAACCAACUUUAUCUUGCCUUAACUUCCAAACUGCCCUUAGUCAUUGAUGGGCAUGGGCCAAGCUAACAUUGGGAGAAAUUUAUUUCAUAGUUUAAAUGAUAAUAGCCCUUUCAAAAACUAAAUGUCCUUUGUUAAAUUAAUGAAAAGCCACCAGAUUGGGAGGAUGACAGGGGCCUGAAUUCUGCUAAGAUGUAGGCAUAGUUAAAUGAUUACCAGUCAUUAUUCUGGAGGUCCCAAUAUUUGCAAUUUCCCCAAUUACUUCUGUAAAUAACAUCAUUAUUAUAGAAGCGAAGAUUAACCUUUUGAGAUGUCUUUUCAGGCUCUUGUAUUUCUGAUGAUCGGAUGGCUCCACCCAGACCCAAGACUCAUGACUCAAAGGUCCUGUGGGCCCCACCCAGAAGUGGACUCAGCACAGGAGGACCAUUUUUCACACCCCUAUGAUAUCCCCAACCAAUCAGCACCACCCCUUCCCUAGCCCACAAAACUAUCUUUAAAAAACUCGAGCCUCUAGCUCGGCAUGGUGGUUCACAUCUGUAAUCCCAGCAUUUGGGGAGGCUAAGGUGGGAAGAUUCCUUAAGCUCAAGAGUUCAAGACCAGCCUGGGAAACACUUGGAGACCGCAUCUCUACAAAAAAAAAUAAAAAUUGGCCAAGCAUCCUGGCACAUGCCUGUGGUCCCAGCUACUCAGGAAACUGAGGCAGGAGGAUCACUUGGGCCUGGGAUGUUGAGGCUGCAGUGAACCAUGAUCGUGUCACUGUGCUCCAGCCUGGGUGAUACACUGAGACAGUAUCUCAAAAAACAAACAGAAAAAUAACAAAACUCUAGCCUUCAAAUUUAAGGGGAGGCUGAUUCAAGUGAUAGUAAAUCACCAGUCUUCCAUUUAGCUGACUCUAUGUAUAUUAAACUCUUCAUCUAUUGCAAUUCCUCUGUCUUGAUAAAUCGGCCCUAUCUGGACAGCAGGCAGGAAGAACCCAUUGGGUGGUUAUAGGUGAUUUGGGAAUCCACUCCCCAGAGGCUAUGUAUGCCACAUAAAGACAUACACACCCAUAUAAUUUGACAUAAAGGUGUGUAUAAUUAUAUCAUGUUUGCAUUUUUUUAAAAUAUAGUCUUUCUGUUUGCUUGCUUUCCUCCUUUCCUAUAUUCCUCUCUUUGGUGGUUAUUUAUCUUUCCAAAAUAGAUUUUAAUAUGCUUCCUUCCAUUUUGCCAUUUUCAUUCAAUAAUCCCUCUCUAAAAUCUUUCUUAGCCAACUGGUAUAACUCAACCAUUUUCUUGUUGAUGGGCAUUCAUUUUAUUUCUCUCCUCUCUCUUUCUUCUCUGAAUAACAGUUUAUUUUCUAAAGCAGCCAGAUUAAUCCUUUAAAACAUGAAUCAGAUCGUGUUACUCUUCUUUUCAAAACCCUGUAGUGACUCUCUGUUUUACUCCCAAAUAAAAGCCAAAGUCUUUACAGUGGCUUCCCAGAUCCCACAUAUAACAUAUCACCCCUGCCUACCCUCCCUGCAACCCAUUUCUCUCUGACUUUCUUCUGCUCUCCCUCUUGUUCAACCUGCUCCAUCCACACUAUACCAGUCUCGUUCAUGUUCCUUGAACAUGCCAGGCAGGCUCUUGCCUUCGUGUCUUGCACUAGUUGUACCUCUGUCUGAAAGGCUCUUUACCCAGAUAUCCCUUGCCUUCUUCAAGCAUCGGCUCAACUCCCUUCUUAGGGAGGCCUCCUGCAAUAAAUUGAAUGUUUGUAUCCCCCCAGAAUUCACGUGUUGAAACCCUAAUUCCCAAAGUGAUGGUAUUUGGAGGUGGGAUCUCUGGGAAGUAAUUAGGUCACGAGAGGGAAGCCCUUAUGAUGGGCUUAGUACCCUUCUAAGAAGAGACAGGAGAGAGCUUGCUUCUUCUGUCUACCCUGUCAGUAUACACUACCACACCCUUCUGCAAACCAGGAAGUGGACCUUCUUCACCAGGACCGAAAUUGGCCGGCCCCUUGACCUUGGACUUCCCAGCAUACAGAACUCUGAGAAAUAAACGUUUGUUGUCUAA